AUAGGAGAACAGUAGGGCCGAUUCUGUACCUUCUAUAGAGGAUAGCUGAUACCGUUAAGCCUAUAUCUGAUCUGAUAUCAACUGUUCAUUCUUGUUAAAAAUAAUUAAUUAUAUUUCAUUUGGGAUUCCAUCCCUUCCAGUUAGGCCGCAACUCCACCUCAGCAUCUUCAUUUCAGUGACCUCCAGUCUGUGUUCAUGGGCUUUCUUAACUGCCCAGGCCUCCGCUCCGUAUGUCAACGCGGGCCGCACGACACGACUGUUUUAUAGAUUUUGCCCUUAAGUUUUUCAUUCCUUCUAUCACAAAGUAUUGCAGUCAUUUUCCUCCAAUUCAUCAAUUAAUUUACUAGAUGUGCUAUUUCGUUGGCCUGUUCUCCGUCUGCAUCAAAGGUUGAGCCCAGCUAAUAAGAGUAUAGAAACUCUAACUUGUACUAAACAUGAUUAUUUCAAGUAUGCAUUGUGAUGAUCUAUGAAUUAAUUUCUAUUAUACAUUAUUCAUUAUCUCAUUUCCAUUUUCAUAUGAUGUGUCUGAUAAUUCGUGAACUGUGAUUCCAUUCAUUCAUCUGUGAAUUUAUUAUAUUGUCAUCCAAUUUAUCUAUGUUCUGUUACAGGCUCUGGAAAUUGAUGAAAUGGAACAAAUUAUUUGGACAAGACACUAGAAAAAUUCUACUCGGUCGGUUUUGUAAUCAUACCUCAAGAUACUUGCGAGAUCUUCGUCUGCACUGCACUAGCAUUUCAGUUGCUUGGUAUGGAUUGUAAGACACAGAAGAAGACGCAUUUAGAUGUUUUUGGAUCUUGAAUCUUGAUGCUCACAGAAAAGCAAGUCAACCAGACAGGCUCUGGAAAUUGAUGAAAUGGAACAAAUUAUUUGGACAAGACACUAGAAAAAUUCUACUCGGUCGGUUUUGAAAUCAUACCUCAAGAAACUUGCGAGAUCUUCGUCUGCACUGCACUAUCAUUUCAGGGUUUGUUGGAGGCGAACGACAUCCACAACAAUGGGAUAGCGGGGUUCGGGCGCCAACCCGACAGUGACAGUGGUGCACUGCGAGAUCCACCACGGACAGACGGGUGGCUUGUACGGGCUCGGCCAGUUCAUCGACAACCGCAUCCAUUCCCACAGCAACCCCACCGCAACGAGAUCUACAACGGCCAUCAGGGUGGCGUCUUCAUCUUGGGCGAAGGCCGCGGCUUGAUCGAGCAUAACAAUAUCUAUGUGACUCAAUGUGGAUUGUGAAGACACAGAAGGGGACGCAUUUGGAUCUUGAAUCAUGAAUGUUGAAUCUUGAUGCUCACAGAAAAGGAAGUCAACCAGACAGUCGUCGCCGCCGCACCACGAUCACUCGGCGGCAUCCACAUCUAGUGGUGGUGGAUCUACAUGCAAGGAGCAUGCGCACUACCACUGGAUGUGGAUGCUGGAUGAGUUGGGCAACCUCGGCCGCUCCAGUACCAACUGCCCGACCAGGUGUUGCUAACCAUAUUCGGCUACUUGCUGUCGGUUUCAGGGCAUCAGCUCUGUUGGGGCAAACUGAGCCGCUUCGGCGAGCGGGCCAAUAAUUUCAACAUUGUUUCAAUUCCAAGUUGAUUGUUUUGAAUUAAUAUAGUCUACUGUUACAGAGAGACUAUGCCUUUUGAAAAUAUAAACGGUUACCUGAUAAGUACCUUAAUUUGUGUUAUGAAAUAUGAUUGAUAUCCAACUAUUUAAUAAAUUUCUCAAUUUGAA